GACGAACGCUGGCGGCGUGCCUAAUACAUGCAAGUAGAACGCACAGUUUAUACCGUAGCUUGCUACACCAUAGACUGUGAGUUGCGAACGGGUGAGUAACGCGUAGGUAACCUGCCUGGUAGCGGGGGAUAACUAUUGGAAACGAUAGCUAAUACCGCAUAAUAUUAAUUAUUGCAUGAUAAUUAAUUGAAAGGUGCAAUUGCACCACUACCAGAUGGACCUGCGUUGUAUUAGCUAGUAGGUGAGGUAACGGCCCACCUAGGCGACGAUACAUAGCCGACUUGGGGGGGGGACAGGCCACCCUGGAACUGCGACACGGUCCAGGCGCCUACGGGAGGCCGCAGUGGGGAAUCUUCCGGAAUGGGCGAAAUCUUGACGGAGCAACGCCGCGGGAGGGAGGAAGGUCUUCGGAUCGUAAAACGCUGUGAUGAGGGAAGAACAAAUGUGGAAGGAAAUAUGCACGUCUGGACGGUACCUAAGCAGAAAGCCACGGCUAACUACAUG
rnacentral:rRNA from 1 species